GGAUCUCAGUGCUUCCUUUCCUGUCUUCCUCCAGGAUGGGGUCAACCACUGUCCUCGCCCUCCUCCUGGCUGUUCUCCAAGGUGUCUUUGCCGAGGUGCAGCUGGUGCAGUCUGGAGCAGAGGUGAAAAGGCCCGGGGAGUCUCUGAAGAUCUCCUGUAAGGCUUCUGGAUACAGCUUUAACAGCUACUGGAUCAGCUGGGUGCGACAGAUGCCCGGGAAAGGCCUGGAGUGGAUGGGGAUGAUCUAUCCUGGUGACUCUGAUACAGAAUACAGCCCAUCCUUCCAAGGCCAAGUCACCAUCUCAGCCGACAAGUCCACCAGCACCGCCUACCUGCAGUGGAGCAGCCUGAAGGCCUCGGACGCUGCCACGUAUUACUGUGCGAGAGACACAGUGUGAGAAAACAGCACUGAGCCCAUCUAAAACCCUCCACAGGGCAGGUGCAGAGUGAGCUGCUACAGACGCCUCCCCAGGGCCCCCCUCUCCAUUCCCCCCGGGGAGGAAUCACUGGCUGUUUGUGUCCUCAGGAGCGAGAACCAGAGAACAACAUGGGAGGGUU